rnacentral:rRNA from 1 species
UACGUAGGGGGCGAGCGUUGUCCGGAUUUAUUGGGCGUAAAGGAGCGUGUAGGCGGUUCGGUAAGUCUGUCGUGAAAUCCUGAGGCUCCAACCUCGGACGUGGCGAUGGAUACUGCCGGGCUAGAGGAUGGUAGAGGCGAGUGGAAUUCCCGGUGUAGCGGUGAAAUGCGCAGAUAUCGGGAGGAACACCAGUAGCGAAGGCGGCUCGCUGGGCCAUUCCUGACGCUGAGACGCGAAAGCUAGGGGAGCGAACGAGGA